UAAUGCCACAAAUGCAAGUGGCGUUGCAUUCUGCCGUUCUGCUGCUCUAAUUGUAAGCAUUUACUGCUAUUUGUCCCCGAGAAAAGCUAGAAUUCUGAGACUCUACCAGUUCUCUCAUUGCCCCAGUCAAGCUUGAUUCACCUUGUAGGAGCUAGAGAAAAGCUAGAAUUCUGAGCCUCUACCACUUCUCUCAUUGCCUCAGUCAAGCUUGAUUCACCUUGUAGGAGCUAAGUUGCUUGGACUCUUUACUUUUGGUUUCGCAAACAUGUUGACACGACAUUGGUGUGGUUGUGGGAUCCGUAGCGGAUCUGGUCAACCGAUUUUGGGUACUUUGACCAAAGUUAAUGGAGAAAGUUGCGAUAGAUCCAAUGAUUUCUGAAAUCAAUACAAUAGCUAGGGUAAAAUUGAAGAAAAUGGAAUACCUUUUAUAUAGAAAUUCCUAUCUCAGGCCUUUUCCUUUUAUCUCCUUCUCGGAUUCUCCUCUUGAUCAAUAUUUUCUCCUCAAAACACCUUCUAAGUUUUCCUCAUAAUGUCUAACUCUAUUUUUAGAUAUUUGAAUUAUUUUUAGCCGAGUCCCCGCGCCCUUACCUGGAUCCGUAUCCCCUACUCUUAAAAUUUAGACCACGAAGGAUCCGACCUCUAGAUCUGCACCCGUAUCAUACGCCCGCACUCGAAUCCAAGCAACUCAGUGUAGGAGUGGGUAAAUGCCUCUUAGUCACUUCCACUCCAAAGACCAACAAUUAUCCAAAAUGCUGAGUUUUAAAACUAUUCUUGUAGGUAAACAAGAGAAAAUUUUUUAGGGACACAGAUGUUGCUUCUUCCACUAUGCUUAUUCAUUUAUCUCAAGGUUUCCUUUAUUUUCUAUAUUUCAAUAGGAUUUGAAGAACAUGUGAAGUUAGAAACAGUGUCUUAAAUUUCCAUGAUAUGGAUGAUAUCUGAAAAUUUACACCUUUAUAUCAUUAUUUUGUUGGUGUUGG
rnacentral:lncRNA from 1 species